GGCAGGCGGGAUCCCAGAAGCACGUCUGAUCUCGAAGGGAGUGGAGGCUUUUAUGCGAAAAGGCCCCAUGGGUAGCUCGGGGGGCUGGGUGUCUUUGUACCUCGCUGCGGCUUUGAGGACGCCCCUAUUAGAAGCGAUUCUGUUCAAACGUGUUUGACACAUUCCAAGGGGAGGGAAGACAAACGCGUGCCUUUGAGAGAUGGGUUCUAUACACUUCCACAGGAGUGCAAGGGUCAUCUGUCAGCCACUACAAGAAGGAUGCUGCAGCCUGAGCCGCCAGGCAUUAAAUGCGCAUGUCCAUUUUGGAGGAAAGCGCCGUUUUCACAAUCUUGAGUCCCUCUAACCCGUGAACACAGUCCACCUCUCCAUUUAUGAAGAUCUGUAAUUUCUUUUGGCAAUAUUUUGUAAUUUUCAGGGUAAUAGAUCUCUCAUGUCUUUCAUCAGAUUUACUCUUAAGUAUUCCAUACUCUUUUGACACUAUUAUAAAAUGCAUCUUUUUAUAAAGAUUUUAUUUAUUUGACAGAGAGAGCACAAGCAGGGGGAGUAGCGGAGGUAGAAGGAGAUGCGGGGUUCGAUCCCAGGGUCCUGGGACCUGACCUGAGCCAAAGGCAGAUACUUAACUGACAAAGACAUCCAGGAACCCGCAUAAGAUGAAUUUUAAAGUCUUAAUUUCUGAUUACACGUUGCUGGUAUAUAGAAAUACAGAUAAUUUAUGGAUACUGAUCUUAUUCCUGCAAACUUAUUGAAAUCUCUAUUGUAGAUUCAUUGGAUUUUCCAUAUAGAAGAUCCUGUCACCUCUGAGUACAGACACCUUUACUUCCUCCUUUCCAAUCUAGGGAUCUUUUAUUUAUUUUUCCUGCCCGAUUUCCCUGGCAACAACUUCCAGUUCCGUGCUGAAUAGAAGUGACAAGAAUAGCCAUCCUGUCUUGUUCCGAAUCUUAGGGGAAGAAAAUUCAUGCUUCCAUCAUGAUGUUAGUUGUAGGUGUUUUGUAGAUGCCUUUUCUCAGGUGGAGGAAGGUCCCUUCAAUUUCCAGUUUACUGAGUUUUUAAUCAGGAAUGGAUGUAGAUUUUUGUCCAAUGUUCAAUGUGUUUUCUGUACCUAUUGAGGUGACCAUAUGUUUUUUUCCCCAAGUUUGUUAAUAUGGUGAAUUACAUUGAUUAAUUCUCUAAUAUUAAACUGAUCUUGC
rnacentral:lncRNA from 1 species